GUAAACGCCUGGCGAGCGUGCGCGGUAAAACGGAGGGUGCAAGCUUUAUCCGGAUUUAUUGGGUUUAAAGGGUCCGUAUGCGGACUUAUAAGUCAGUGGUGAAAGCCUGUCGCUUAACGAUAGAACUGCCAUUGAUACUGUAAGUCUUGAGUAUAAUUGAGGUAGCUGGAAUAAGUAGUGUAGCGGUGAAAUGCAUAGAUAUUACUUAGAACACCAAUUGCGAAGGCAGGUUACCAAGUUAUAACUGACGCUGAGGGACGAAAGCGUGGGGAGCGAACAGGAUUAGAUACCCUGGUAGUC
rnacentral:rRNA from 1 species